CAAAGAUAUGCAAGCCAUGUUCCUGCACCCUGGAGAUGCAGCUGACCAUGCAAAGUGGUGCUCAAUAAUCCGAAAAGCGGACCCUACACCUGGGGGAAUAUUCUGGAAAGAAGAUGGAAUGGUACAUGUCAUAGGCAGUACUUGACUUAUGACCACAAUUGAGCCCAAACUUUCUGUUGCUAAGUGAGACAUUUGUUUGAAUGCAAGAAUGCAGAAAACCAAUCUCCUGAGCCUCUUAGAUUAUGACCAAUGUGUAUGAGACUCAUACAAAGGCUACUUUCAAGGUCCUUACAGAAGGGAAAUUCUCUAGCAGUUUCUCAAGAACACACUGUUCGCAGCAGCAAUUACACAGCUUUUUGGAAAAAUGGAAAAUGGCAGGAGCAGCUGUGCUUGCAAUCUAGCAAUCACUUGGCAUAUAUGCAAACACCAAAAUCAUGUAGAGUAUUUGGAGAUAACUCUUUACGAUGCUAAUCUUUUCCUAGAGGAAAAAGGAAAGACAUUUACAAUGUUUUUUUUUAAUGUAGAUUACAAAAUAUUUGUUUUUGUUAUAUUCUGAUUCUAUAUUAAAACCAGACCAUUUUAAAGCUUACUGUAGAUAAAUAAUUUGAGAAAUGAAAUUACUUUUUUA